CAGUCGCCACGGUAAUACAGAGGGUGCGAGCGUUAAUCGGAUUUACUGGGCGUAAAGCGUGCGUAGGCGGCUUCUUAAGUCGGAUGUGAAAUCCCUGAGCUUAACUUAGGAAUUGCAUUCGAUACUGGGAAGAUAGAGUAUGGGAGAGGAUGGUAGAAUUCCAGGUGUAGCGGUGAAAUGCGUAGAGAUCUGGAGGAAUACCGAUGGCGAAGGCAGCCAUCUGGCCUAAUACUGACGCUGAGGUACGAAAGCAUGGGGAGCAAACAGGAUUAGAUACCCGUGUAGUCCCUGUCUCUUAUAA
rnacentral:rRNA from 1 species